AUGGAAUCCGACGGCGAGCAUUCGCCGCCGCACGCCUGCGGUGCUGGCCACCGGGCGUCGCACUCUCUCCCGACCUCGGCGGGCGGCAGCGUCUGCGUUUCCUGCGCCGCGGCCCUCCUCUCUUCCGCCUCCGCGCCGUCCCACCACGUCUCCCACGUGCUCGCCAGCCUCUCCCUCGCCCUAGCUGACCCGGCCUUCCUCGCGCCUCUCCGCGCCGCCCACCCGCGCCUCCUUGCGGUGCCACUAGUCGAGGCCCUCGCGGGCGCGGCCGCCCGCCGAGACGCCGCACUCGCCACCCAGGCAUCCGACCUCGCCGCCGACCUCGCGUCCGCCGUGGGCCCCCCCGCCGCCUCCGAGCUCGUCGCGCGCCUCGCCCACGUCCUCUCCUCGGGUUCUCUCGUCAAGCACUUACACAUGGUACGUGUGCCGCUACUCCGUGCUACGCUGUGCUGA
rnacentral:rRNA from 1 species